UAUUUUCAAAUUUUACAUAAAAUAAUUUAUUAUCAAAAUACCUAAUUUCGUCAUAGUAAAUAAAAUCAUUUUCAAAAAAUAAAAAAUAAAAAAAUAUGUUUUCAAAACAAAAAUAAAUAAAUAAUUUUUUUACAUGUUCAAAUUUUAAUUUUAACACAAAAAGAAUAAAAAUAUAUAAUAAAAUAAAAUUAAAGAAAAAAAAAUAGUCUAAUUUUUAUAAUUUCUUUAGUGAGUCUAACAAGGAUUUUAUACAUAUCUUUAC
rnacentral:lncRNA from 1 species